AGUGAACGCUGGCGGUAGGCCUAACACAUGCAAGUCGAACGGCAGCACAGUAAGAGCUUGCUCUUACGGGUGGCGAGUGGCGGACGGGUGAGGAAUACAUCGGAAUCUACUUUUUCGUGGGGGAUAACGUAGGGAAACUUACGCUAAUACCGCAUACGACCUACGGGUGAAAGCAGGGGAUCUUCGGACCUUGCGCGAUUGAAUGAGCCGAUGUCGGAUUAGCUAGUUGGCGGGGUAAAGGCCCACCAAGGCGACGAUCCGUAGCUGGUCUGAGAGGAUGAUCAGCCACACUGGAACUGAGACACGGUCCAGACGCCUACGGGAGGCAGCAGUGGGGAAUAUUGGACAAUGGGCGCAAGCCUGAUCCAGCAAUACCGCGUGGGUGAAGAAGGCCUUCGGGUUGUAAAGCCCUUUUGUUGGGAAAGAAAAGCAGCAGGUUAAUACCCCGCUGUUCUGACGGUACCCAAAGAAUAAGCACCGGCUAACUUCGUG
rnacentral:rRNA from 1 species